rnacentral:rRNA from 1 species
GCUGGCGGCAGGCUUAACACAUGCAAGUCGAGCGGGCGUAGCAAUACGUCAGCGGCAGACGGGUGAGUAACGCGUGGGAACGUACCUUUUGGUUCGGAACAACACAGGGAAACUUGUGCUAAUACCGGAUAAGCCCUUACGGGGAAAGAUUUAUCGCCGAAAGAUCGGCCCGCGUCUGAUUAGCUAGUUGGUGAGGUAAUGGCUCACCAAGGCGACGAUCAGUAGCUGGUCUGAGAGGAUGAUCAGCCACAUUGGGACUGAGACACGGCCCAAACUCCUACGGGAGGCAGCAGUGGGGAAUAUUGGACAAUGGGCGCAAGCCUGAUCCAGCCAUGCCGCGUGAGUGAUGAAGGCCCUAGGGUUGUAAAGCUCUUUUGUGCGGGAAGAUAAUGACGGUACCGCAAGAAUAAGCCCCGGCUAACUUCGUGCCAGCAGCCGCGGUAAUACGAAGGGGGCUAGCGUUGCUCGGAAUCACUGGGCGUAAAGGGUGCGUAGGCGGGUCUUUAAGUCAGGGGUGAAAUCCUGGAGCUCAACUCCAGAACUGCCUUUGAUACUGAGGAUCUUGAGUUCGGGAGAGGUGA